rnacentral:misc_RNA from 1 species
GAAAUGCGAUAAGUAAUGCGAAUUGCAGAAUUUCCGUGAGUCAUCGAAUCUUUGAACGCACAUUGCGCCCAUUGGUAUUCCGAUGGGCAUGCCUGUUCGAGCGUCAUUACGCACCCUCAAGCCCGGCUUGUGUGAUGGGCCCCGGCGUCUCGUUCGCGAGACGGGCCCGAAAGGCAGCGGCGGCGUCGACCCGAUGAGCCCGAGCGUAUGGGGACUUCUGUCACACGUUCGCGGUGCGGACCGGCGCCUGCUUUGACUUUUCUGAUUAUCCAGGUUGACCUCGGAUCAGGUAGGGAUACCCGCUGAACUUAAGC